rnacentral:rRNA from 1 species
AAUGGGCGAAAGCCUGACGGAGCAACGCCGCGUGAGUGAUGAAGGUCUUCGGAUCGUAAAACUCUGUUAUCAGGGAAGAACAAAUGUGUAAGUAACUGUGCACAUCUUGACGGUACCUGAUCAGAAAGCCACGGCUAACUACGUGCCAGCAGCCGCGGUAAUACGUAGGUGGCAAGCGUUAUCCGGAAUUAUUGGGCGUAAAGCGCGCGUAGGCGGUUUUUUAAGUCUGAUGUGAAAGCCCACGGCUCAACCGUGGAGGGUCAUUGGAAACUGGAAAACUUGAGUGCAGAAGAGGAAAGUGGAAUUCCAUGUGUAGCGGUGAAAUGCGCAGAGAUAUGGAGGAACACCAGUGGCGAAGGCGACUUUCUGGUCUGUAACUGACGCUGAUGUGCGAAAGCGUGGGGAUCAAACAGGAUUAGAUACCCUGGUAGUCCACGCCG